AUCCAUCUAACGAGUCCCAAAUAGGACGAAAUGCGCAUCCUGGAU
rfam:Schistosoma rodhaini strain Burundi genome assembly, scaffold: SROB_scaffold0023518